rfam:Human gut metagenome DNA, contig sequence: F2-Y_032328.
CCUGUAUGCCAUUAGCAGUAGUCUACUGUCAACAAAGCAGCUGGGUACGGCUGUGAGGAAGCGUGACGGGACAAGGGUAGCCCUACCCCGAAAGGGUUNCAGCUGAACCGCGAGGCGAANGCAAUAGACUGGCAGCAACGAUGCCGUCGGGGAG